GAGGAGCACGCUAGUAAGCAGCAUCCUCCUGUGGCCACUGCAACAGCUCCUGCCUCCAGGUUGCUAGGCUGUGAGACCUCAACUCAAAGUCAAUCCUAUGAUGAGUCAGACUGACAAGUUCUGCUAGAGGGAGAGAAAGAUGGCUCGAGAGCAGACUCAGAUCCCUGGAGAUGAUCAGAGGGUUUGCUGCUGGAAUUAAUGCUUGGUGGCUAUUUGUCUGAUGUAUCCACAUUACAGGAUGAGAUGUUCACAAGAAUAAUUCCUAGUGAUCCUGCUGCUGCUCGUGAGAUCUUUGCCAACAAGAGAGGUGAACUGUGCAGCACAUAUCUCAUUUCCAGUCUGACAAAUUAUCUGUCAAGAUAGGACCCCAGUCGAGUGUUUAAUUGUGCAUCAGGUUUAGGUGACAGAACUUUGAUAUGACAAAGAGGGGAUGGAGGAGAUAGCUUCCUUCUCUCCCCUAAGAACUAUGAUGUUGUGAAUGAAUACAUCUGGUGUGCUUGUCCAUGUCUAUGUCUGGGGUGAUAGAAGAGUCCGGUGGCUGCUGUGGACCAGAUACUGCAUAUCAGCAUCUGGGCUUUGAUCAUCUUGGAGAAAACUUGACUCUUCCUGAUGUAUUUGCGAGUAGACUUCCCAGUCUCCUCCAUCAGCCUUUAGAUGUGGAUUGUCAGGAGAGAUGUUUGAUUGCUUUUGUUCCUCUUUAAAAGAAUUUCAUUGUGGAUUGGCAUAUUAUAUUUGUAUACACUUAUGUGGUAAAAUGUGAUGGUUCUAAUUGGUACUUAAUACUGGGAAGUAUCAACACAACAUAGUUAUCCCAUUUUUCACCUUAGACUGUUAUCAUUUCCUUAUUGUCAGAAUCUCAAAAAGCCCAUCUUUAGCCAUUUGUAGAUAUACAAUGCAUUGUGGCUAAUUAUAUCCUCCCUACUGUGGUAGGGCUCACCAGAACCUACCCUACCUAACUAACAGUAACAUGAGCCAGCUCUGUCUCCCAAGUUCCUCUCUGCCCCAUCUCUGGUAGCCACUACACUGCUCUCAACUUCUUUGAAGUCUUACAUGUGAAUGGACUUGGGUAGUGUUUGCCUGUAUGAACAUGAAUUACUUCAAUCCACAUAAUGGCCUCUGAGUGUUUGCAUUAUGUUGCAAAUCACAAAAUGUCAUUCUAUUUAUAGCUGAAUAAUAUUCCAUAGCAUAUUCACCCAUUAUACUGGUUUCUACCUAUUUAUGCAUGGUGAACAUUUAGGAUAAUUCCAUUUCCUGCAUAUUUUUGUAUAGUAAAUAAGAGUAGAAGUACAGACGUCUUUUGAUAUGGUGAGUUCAUUUUCUUUUAUACAUUUCCAGUGGUAGAAUUGUUGGUUCAUAUGAUAGCUUUGAUUUUAUGGGUUUGUUUGUUUAUUGGUUUGUUUAAGGAGUUUUGCUUUGAAAUAGUUGUAGAGUACUCUUCUCCAGGAGCCAAAGAACACUUAACCACAGCACCAAUACCAGACAUGAGGAGCCAUGUAUUUGAAGAAGGGAUAGGAAGGCUAUAUGGGAGGUUUUGGAGGGCGGAAAGAGAAGGGAGAAAUGUUGUAAUUAUAUUAUAAUCUAAAAUAAUAAUAAUAAAGUUAAU
ensembl:lincRNA Gm17751 predicted gene, 17751